UCUCCGGCUCCCUCCGACCAUUUACUCCCCUUAUUUUUCAAUACUGACCCUUGAAUCUUCACUAACAAUCCGAAUUAACGGCAGUUAUUCCGCGGGUAGACUUGGAAAAAAUAGGAUUUCUAAAUCAUUUUCUCCCCCCCCCCCAUCGUUUGACGUCAGAAUGAGUUGCAGAUAUUUCAGUUGGAGCAUGCGCAUUGACACCGACGCGUUAAACAACAAAAUUAUGUUUUAAUAUCAAUUCAUUCACGAUCUUUCUCACUUCCAGUCGAUCGUGUGUAUUUCGAUGCGAACACCAACCGGGAGAAAUGUCCAUAAAAUGAAACUUUCCCCUCAGUAAAACGUCGGAGAAAAAGAAAACGGGUCACGUGACAGCGAGGCGUUGGCCAAAUUUAAAACGACAACUUUUCCACGUCUGUGAACCAAAGUUGUUAUUACUUCAGAUAUUAAAAAUCUGAGGAAAUAAUAGUGUGGUGUUCUUUAUUUUUGAAGGAUAAUAAACUUUCCUCUUUGAAAACGAAACCUUUGGACAACACGGUGACGCCGUUGAGCCCGCGCGGGUUUUAAUUGGGUGGGGAGCGUGACCUUUCAACUGUGGGGGAGGAGAAGAUGGCAGUGCUAGUGAGUGGCUUGAGACUGCAGCUUAGGACUGUUGCUGUGGCUGGCCGGACUUUGCUGUGGGACCACACUCUGGAGUAUUGUGUGCAGUUCUGGUUGCCUACCCCAAGGAAGGAUGUCAAUAAGCUGGAGAGGGAGCAGAAAAGCUUCAUGGGGAUGUUACCAGGGCUUGACUUCUAAGGUGAAGCUGGGUAGGCUGGGGCUAUAUUUCCCCUAGAGCGUAGGAAGUUGAGGGGUGGCCUUAUAGAGGUUUAUAACAUCAUAAAUGUCAUAGAUGAGGUGAAUGGUCGCGGUCUUUUCCCAGUGUAGGGGAGGCUAAAACUAGAGGGGAUAGGUUUAAGUUGACAGGGGAAGGAUUUAAAGAGGA